GUUCCCUUCUUUAAUAGGGCCAUCCAAAAGAAAAUAUCGGUACUUUUCAACAAAAAGAACUAUCAAAUGCAAGCCCAAAGUGCUUAACAAGGACAGCAUAGAAGAGGAAAUUAAUUUUGCAUGCAGUAGUACCGUUAGCUCCUUUUUAACGUCAGAAAGGUCCUGCCCUUAUAGAUGAUUACAAAUUAAAUAGUAGCACAUUAACUCAUUUUAAAAAGGAUAAUCU
rnacentral:misc_RNA from 1 species